AUGCUGGAAUUGCUGAAGCUUCACUGUUCUGUGAUAGUUAGCAUCUUGUCUUUAGCUACAAACAGUUCCAUUCCCAUCAUAUGGCAGCAGAGAUGUUGUACCUUUAUUGGGCAGUACUGGACUCAAAGACAAAGCAGGAUCAUGAAGGGGAAUGAACCUCUACCCUCAAAAUGAGCACGGUCCCACUAUUGCCUUCUGGUACCAGGCCUAAUGCUGUGAUGUUCUCCUUCCAUGGUGUGUGUUCUGCUCCAUGUUCACAUCAGCAUUGGCCAGCUGUCAGACACAGAGCACCUGAAGAAGACUGUCUUCUGCAAAGUGAGGUAUAAAUUUUGUGAAUAUUAGUCCUUAAAUGCAUUCUUGUUAAAUAAUAUCCCAUAAUGUCUGUGUGAAUAAUAAUUAAAAAACAAGCCAGGCAGAAAUUAUGAGAUUGUGUUAAAGCAAAAUAUCAUCCUUCCCUGGGCUGUUUUUGUCGUUAGCAGACUUAGCUGCAAAUUUACACAGUAAUACCACUACAUUUUCUAGUUGUAAAUCUUGACAGUGGGUACAGGGGAUUUUCAGAUCCUGAAGAGCCACAAGAGCUAAUUUUAAGGCCCAAGAAAUUUAUCCAAUCAGAUAUACAUCUGUGAAGAUACUUGUUGAGUGGGUAUUCUGUUUCUAUCGAUACUAGAAAGAAGUCGAGCAGAAUGUGGGUUUUUGUUUUUUUUUUUUUUCCUUCAAAACUCAUUAUUUGGGCCAGAAGCAAAAGAAGAAAAACUUUUUAAAGCGAAUAUUUUGAUCACAACAAUUCUUGCAAUGGCAGCUGCAAGUCACGGUUUGGUUGGCUGGGUUGGUCUGGAUUAAUGAAGUCUCUGUAUGCAGGACUCCUUUGUUCUCUGUACAAUCCAAAAAACAAAUCAGCUAGUGGUGUUUAUUGCUGAAUUUUUUUAAGUUUCUACAAAAACUAUCUCAAAACAUACAUACAAGAAAAAAACACAAUGAGACCUUUGGAGGAACAGGCAGAGAUUAAGUUGUUAGGUUUUCAUUGCUUGCCUGAAUAAUUUACACAGAAGUUAAGAGCACCUGAUUGUUGCUCAGCAACUUUGAAAAUACAGCAGUUAAUUAGAUAUUUCUGCACGUGCUUAGAGAACUAAAUUUAGGCAGCCAUUUAUGAAAGACAUUUUUUCAUACUCUCUCCAGUUGAGCUUUCUGCAUUUUUGGAUGAUAAACUGCUAAUGUGCGAUGGUCUUUAUUGUGGGUGUUUUUCAACCUCUUGUUCAGAUACAAAAAGCUAGUUCAAAACAAUAGUUUUAGCUGCUGACUGAAGCCUUACAGAACCCCUCAAGAUAAAUACUAAGCUGUGUCUUUUGUGAACACACAUUUAUUUUCCUUCUUAAUUCUGAUAACAUUUAAAAAUCUCUUCUUAGAGUUUCAGCAGAAGCUUGGAAAUGCAAUGGUAGAUGAAAUCAAACAAACUAUAACAUGGAAAACAGAAUGAACAUGUUGUUUCCAGCAGUUUUGUGAUUCUUAUGUCCUGGAAUAAAUCCUCAUAUUCAUAACA
rnacentral:lncRNA from 1 species